rnacentral:lncRNA from 1 species
CAAAAUAGCAUUACUUGAAGUGCCUUUCCCCCUGUAAUCCGACUCCAUCGUCUUUAACGUGUUUGGAAUUGUGUACACAGUUUAUUGUUAUUGGUUUCCUUAGCCUUUUUAGAACCAAGCAACGCCAAUUACCAACAAAAUCCGUUGCGCCGCAGUGAGUUAGCUACCUUCUAUCUCCACUUUGUUCUGCACGUCGAUCUCAGGUAAAGAACAUCAUCUCUUUACAUCCUUCUUUCCACUUUGUUCUUAGGAUCAUCGAUCAUCGUUCCUCGGGGAGCCCCUGGCACAUACUUAGUGCUAAGAAACUCCCAUCAGGUGAUAAGCAUUGAACUCCAUUUAAGGAAACUCAAAAGUGGGAAAUAGUAAAAGGUUCCUGUCUGAUUAAAGCUCUGAUUGGGAGGGGUGUGGGGGGACUGAUUUCUGACAACAGUGUCCCCUCCAGUAUUUUUCCCCCACUUAAUUUUACCCUGAUAAAAAUCAACAGUCAUGGAAGAUCUAGCAGCUUCUAUCAACUGAGAAACAGCACCUGGUGUCCUCAGGCAUUCAAUUACCUGGACUUGGAAAAGGAUGAGUGAUAAUAGACCCAGAAACCUGAAAUCUUUAGAACAGCAUUACAAGAAUAAGCAUAUUGUUGUGGCUGAGGUGGGUAGGAAGUAGAUAGGGAUUUUGACUUUAAAAUAGGCUUCCUCUCCCUAUGACACCUGCAGUUUGCCUGGACAUAGCUUUUAUCAUAUGCUUCCCAACUCUUCAGCAAGAGAGGGAAUUGAACUGAGUAAUUGGGAGUUGUUUUCCUAGCUAUAAAGAUUGCCACAAAUCUGAAAGCACAUGUGUCCCACUUGGGACACGGAGGUGAGUGGAAUUAAGCUGAGCACAGAUAACUCUCUCUUGAGAUCUGUAUUCCUAAAUGGGUCUUGCAUGUAUCUGGACAUUGUCCACUCACAGACUCUCUCCUGAGAAAGGUUAGCGAGGUCCCGUUCAGGAAUGCACCAGAUGAUAAUAAAGUGAACACCUUCUCACUUUGUAGCUCUUGCUAAGCCACUGGAGUACCUUAAAAGCUAUCAAAGCAUAAUCUUCAAAUAUAUAUAUAGUAACUAAUCACCAAAUAUUUAUUUAAGUCACUAAUGAGAAAAGGAGGAGUAUGGUAAACUGAUUGCAAUGGCAAUAGAAAAGGCUGGUAAAGGUAUAGUCAGUGGGGGAAAAAUAAUGCUGACAUGAGAUUGCAAGUUUAAGUAAAAAACUAGCUAAUGUCCUAUGAGGCAGUGAAAACUAUGGCCUUUGGGAUUAUUUUUAUCUAAAAGACAGAAACUAGUUGCAUCUUUACUGGGUAAAAAUCAUUCAAAACUUAAUAUUCUACAUAAUGACAUUUAACCUUGUAAUCUAUUUUCUAAUCAUUAGUAAAUAGUGACCUCCAAAAGUUCCAUUAACUUAGAGGAUUACUUGCCCCUUCAGUGGGCUUGUUAGACAAUGCUCUAGUAUUAUUUUGAAAGAGUACUAAUAUCUUUUUUUUUUGCCUUAUAUUAACUUUUGGAUAUUUUUUCUGAAUAGAUUUAGCACCUUAAUUCAAUUAUUUUAUCUCUGUUCCUGAUCAGUUGAAGGUAUUAUUGAGUGUCUUCAGACAGUGUUUAAAAAAUGGUGACCUUUGCCAUAAAGAAUUUUUGUGAACUGGCUUAAGCCAGUUUUGUGAUACACAACUUUGGGUGCUUUUGGUAGAUGUCUGUAGGCAGCUUACUUUAUAGUACUUUAUACUAUACCUUACUUUAUAGUAUAAAGUAAGGGAUAGUUAGCUACAACAUACCAACGAGUUAUAGUGAUAGAAGAUCUUCAACAAAAUUUUGUACAUAUAUAGUCAUUUAUUAGAAAGCAAGCAAAAAACAGUCAUAAAACCUGUUCUCUAAGCUCAAUGAAGUUCCCACGGUUUUGUCAUUUGUUUUUGUUGUUGUCAUUGUUGUUUUACUAACUUCAAAACUACCUUUCAUGAAAGCUUUGCUUGAGGCAAAUGCAACAAUAUUUCAGAGUGAGGAUUCAGCCAAACAUCUCUAAGAAGAAAACCUCUGGACACAGCAGGACACAGAAAUACUGAAAUCUCCAGCCUAGGGCACCAUCCCUCAAGUUAAAGGCUAGAACUCAUUUAAUUUUUAUUCCCUUUGAACAGUGUCUCUUAAAUAUUUAAUUCAUUUUGGGAACCGCUAAUUUACCCAGGGAGACUAUAUUUCUAAUAUUUUUUUCCCUUCACACCAUGGGAUCUUUGUUUCUAAUAUAUUAAUUAACUAAUUAACAAGGACAAAUUUCAUCAAAGAAAACCAGUAUCCAAUAUUCCAUUAUACUAAUUAUGGCAGCCUCUGGUGUUUAUCAAAAAUAAAGAAAACUGAAGUACUUUUGGUGGCCACUUCAGCAGUGUGGUUUUAUUAUGUUAAAUGACAAUCCUCCAGAUUGUGAUAUCAGGGCAAGGGACUGACUCUAGAAUCAUUUAAAAUCAUUUUAAUAUACACAUUCGUAUUAUACAGCACAGUUGAUUAAAUUAUUGCUCCUUCUCUAUAUCCACACCCUUUUUGUGGGUGGAGAGUUUGUCUUCACUUGUGGUAGACUGGAUUCCUGAAAAUGACUGAAACAGUAUCCCUCGUUCCCUUCUGCAAUGUGAGCUUGGCACCUCCUCAGCUAGAAGUAGAGUCUGUUUCCCUUCACCUUGAAUUUGGUUUGGGUUUGUAACUACUGUGAGCAAUGGAAUGCAGUAAAAAUAACAUUUUGUGAUUUCUCAGCCCAGGCAGUAAGAAAACAUAUCAGCUUCCACUUUUACCUUUAAGGAGAAGCCAGCUCCCAUGUUAAGAAGUUCAAAUACCUAGAGACUGCGAUGGUUUGCAGAGGCUCAAGCUAACCACAUGGAAAGACAUGGAGAGAUAUUCCUUGCCAACCCUCAACUACUCCAACUAUUCUAAGACAUCAAACCUGUGAGUGAAAAAGCCAUCUCAUACCUUACAACUCUAGCAGAUGCCACAUAGUGUAGAGAUAAGCUCUCUCUGUCAUUCUCUGUCAAAAUUGUAAAAUCAUAAGCAAAUAAAUAAUCACAGUUGCUUCAAGUUACUACAUUUGAGCAUAGUAUUUUAAGCCACUGCAUUUGAGAUGGUUUGUUAUACAGCAAUAGAUAACUAAAAAACAAAGUCCCUUGAUUUAGACUUGUCCACUCAACUUGCUUGGCCAAUGGAAUGGGGUAGAAGUGAUGGUGUGCUUAUUCCCAGCCUGGGCCUUAAAAGGCUUUGCCUAUUUCCACUUGCCUUCUUGUACUUCUGCUAUUGUCAUAAGAAAAACAAACCGCAGGUCACCCACCGGUCUGAAGAGGAGGAUGAGAGACAAAGAAAAAAGUUGUCUGGCUGCCUCUGCUGUCUACAGAUUGAAGAAGAUCCAUCCAGCUGAGCCCAGCCUAGACCAGCUGACUUCUCCAAUAAGCCUGUAUGAAAUAAAUGCUUAUUGUUAUGUGACCUUGAGCUUUGAAGAUAGUUUGUUAUGCAAUAAUUGUUGAUUCUUUCACCCUGUCUUUGUUGAACUGUUAUAGACGUCUUAAUAGGAGUUCACAAUUCA